UAUAGAAUUACUCUAUAUAUAGAGAUAAGGUGUCAAAAUUGAAUUUUGUCACGCGGGUGCGGUAUAUAAAAAACUAGUCUCUCGGUUUCCUUCCAUCAUAAUCAAAUUUCCAUUUCACUGUCUUCCAUCUUGAAGGGAGAGAUCAGAGCAACUCUGCAAGCAAAGGGUGUGGCUGUACAUCAAUGCUGGUGUAAGGGAGGAUACAGCCUUUGCACCCCUCACCAAGAAGGAGAUCAGUGAAACCGCAUGUAAUGGGCCGGAUGAUCUUCAGCCAGCAAGUGGAUAUUCUGGUAUCACAGUAUCACCAGCAUCGAACGUUACAUGGUGUCCCCUUUUCUGGCGUUUAAAUUACUUUCAGAAGUGUUCCAACAUUUUUGAUAAUGUCUAAUAGGAUCGUUGUCUUCAUACAGAUUGUUGAAGUCAUCGAUUUUAAACAUCAGCCAUUGCUCCAAGACCUGAGAUGCAACUCACUUCGAUGUCUUUUUAGCCUAUAAACUUCAGGUUUAUAACUUGAUAUUAAAAUCAUGAAAUUAAACUAAAAGAGGAAAAGAAAAGAUGGAUGGCAGAAUCUUGGAGAAACCAAACAUAUAACAUGAAUGAUUUUCCAAAGAUGCCUUGGUUUUCUUGUCUGUAAAAUGGUACUGGUAUAGUCUAUGGUUUCAAUCAUAGCUGAGCACAUGAAACAGAAUGCUCUGAUGUCUCCAGAUCCACAUUUGCAGUUUGUUUUCUUCCAAGAUGUCUAGAUUGUGGAUAUUUUCUUUUUCUACUUUUGCUCAUGAACUUUUUCUUUCAUCAUUUUUAGGAAUCAGUAUAUGGAUAGCGAAAGACAGCUUGAUAGGGAGUAUCAACAUGAUAAUAGAGAGCCAAUUAACUAAACCUGAACCUGAUGUGUCCAUCCUCCUAACAUAGGACCUGGCAAGAGCUAGCUUCAGAAACUUCAGGUUCAAUAUUGCUUCAAUCUUACAGGCAAUGGAAGCUGGUUUCUCUGCUUGAAUGCAACUCGCUUCUUUUUAAGUGGUUCAAGUUUCCAAUAGCUGGGUUAUUUCCCCAUUUCACUUGUAUUGAGGUAUUCUAUGGGUACCCUCAUUACAGAAUGUACAUAUAUUGUUUGGAUUUUCAGGUUUAGUAUACAUAUUUUGUAAACAACUGUGUAGAAAUCCAUAUGCUAUGAAAGACAUGCACUUUCUGUA